rnacentral:rRNA from 1 species
UAGCUAGUUGGUGAGGUAAAGGCUCACCAAGGCGACGAUCUGUAGCGGGUCUGAGAGGAUGAUCCGCCACACUGGAACUGAGACACGGUCCAGACUCCUACGGGAGGCAGCAGUGGGGAAUUUUGGACAAUGGGGGCAACCCUGAUCCAGCCAUGCCGCGUGAGUGAAGAAGGCCUUCGGGUUGUAAAGCUCUUUCGGCCGGGAAGAAAUCGCAUGGGCCAAUACCCUGUGCGGAUGACGGUACCGGCAUAAGAAGCACCGGCUAACUACGUGCCAGCAGCCGCGGUAAUACGUAGGGUGCGAGCGUUAAUCGGAAUUACUGGGCGUAAAGCGUGCGCAGGCGGUUUUGUAAGACAGGCGUGAAAUCCCCGGGCUCAACCUGGGAACUGCGUUUGUGACUGCAAGGCUAGAGUACGGCAGAGGGGGGUGGAAUUCCACGUGUAGCAGUGAAAUGCGUAGGGAUGUGGAGGAACACCAAUGGCGAAGGCAGCCCCCUGGGUCGAUACUGACGCUCAUGCACGAAAGCGUGGGUAGCAAACAGGAUUAGAUACCCUGGUAGUCCACGCCCUAAACGAUGUCAACUAGGUGUUGGGUGGGUAAAACCAUUUAGUACCGGAGCUAACGCGUGAAGUUGACCGCCUGGGGAGUACGGCCGCAAGGUUAAAACUCAAAGGAAUUGACGGGGACCCGCACAAGCGGUGGAUGAUGUGGAUUAAUUCGAUGCAACGCGAAAAACCUUACCUACCCUUGACAUGUCCAGAAGCCUGAAGAGAUUUGGGUGUGCCCGAAAGGGAACUGGAACACAGGUGCUGCAUGGCUGUCGUCAGCUCGUGUCGUGAGAUGUUGGGUUAAGUCCCGCAACGAGCGCAACCCUUGUCGUUAAUUGCCAUCAUUCAGUUGGGCACUUUAACGAGACUGCCGGUGACAAACCGGAGGAAGGUGGGGAUGACGUCAAGUCCUCAUGGCCCUUAUGGGUAGGGCUUCACACGUCAUACAAUGGUCGGUACAAAGGGUUGCCAAGCCGCGAGGUGGAGCCAAUCCCUGAAAGCCGAUCGUAGUCCGGAUCGUAGGCUGCAACUCGCCUGCGUGAAGUCGGAAUCGCUAGUAAUCGUGGAUCAGCAUGUCACGGUGAAUACGUUCCCGGGUCUUGUACACACCGCCCGUCACACCAUGGGAGCGGGUUCCGCCAGAAGUAGGUAGCCUAACCGCAAGGGGGGCGCUUACCACGGCGGGGUUCGUGACUGGGGUGAAGUCGUAACAAGGUAGCCGUAGGGGAACCUGCGGCUG